UACGUAGGGCGCAAGCGUUGUCCGGAAUUAUUGGGCGUAAAGCGCGCGCAGGCGGCCUCUUAAGUCUGAUGUGAAAGCCCCCCGGCUCAACCGGGGAGGGCCAUUGGAAACUGGGAGGCUUGAGUAUAGGAGAGAAGAGUGGAAUUCCACGUGUAGCGGUGAAAUGCGUAGAGAUGUGGAGGAACACCAGUGGCGAAGGCGACUCUUUGGCCUAUAACUGACGCUGAGGCGCGAAAGCGUGGGGAGCAAACAGG
rnacentral:rRNA from 1 species